rnacentral:rRNA from 1 species
UACGUAGGGGGCUAGCGUUGUCCGGAUUUAUUGGGCGUAAAGAGCGUGUAGGCGGCCAGGUAGGUCUGCUGUUAAAACUCGAGGCUCAACCUCGAGACGUCGGCGGAAACCAUCUGGCUAGAGUCCGGAAGAGGAGAGUGGAAUUCCUGGUGUAGCGGUGAAAUGCGCAGAUAUCAGGAAGAACACCUAUGGCGAAGGCAGCACUCUGGGACGGUACUGACGCUGAGACGCGAAAGCGUGGGGAGCGAACAGG